GGGGGCGUGCGCGCGGCGGGUCUGGGGCCGCAACCCUGUGGGCGCGGGGCUGGCUCUGGCCUCCGCCCCCCGGCGCGGUUAUCUGUCCCUGCUGCGCUGGUCCGUCAGCCUUCAGCCUCCCGAUACGGGCACGCCCCGCUCCCCUGCCCCUGCUGGGCAUUCUUCAGACUCCUUUGGGAAGAGAUCACGCCGCUUCUUCGGUUGAGACGCACUAGCGGGAGACCUGCUACUCUGCCUUCCUGCUCCGCGGCAUUGCCACUUCAGUAGAGAAAAACGUCCUGCUGCCCCAUUUAGCAAUUGGCACAGCCUCGCCACCGCCAGGGCUCCGCUGGCCUUGUUUCCUUUCAGUCGCCUGUGAGUUAGGUACUGCCUUCUGAGAGACCUGGACUAGUCCCUUCAGGUUCAACUAAAUGCAUAACACAACCCUACCCCCAGGACGCUGACAAUAGAAAGGAAGAGACUGUCCGCGGAGUAGACGAGUGCGCCUGUAAGAACUCGGGAUUUUCCAGCCUUAUUCUGCACCACUCUCCCCUACAUGCCCAGUUCCCUGUGGGUAAACUGGCUCUGCCCGAUUCCUCCAAGACGACACCUUUCCAUUUCACAGCCCUUCCUAACACUCUUCUGCGCCUGCAAUGUCCUCUCCCCAACAUCUGCCUGUUGGAAGCGUUUUCACUGUUCCUCGGCUCAGUCGGCUGAAAUAUCGCUUCUGAUUGCUCAGAGGGAUGUUUCCCACUGUGGCACUCGCUCCCUAGUUAUUCCAUACCUCUCUCAGGUCACUGACAAGACUUGGGUCUGUCAUGCCGCAGUGCCCCUCACAGUGCAGUCCUCGAUAAAUGUUUGCCCAGUGUUAUUGAACCCAGUUAUCUUGGGUGCUGAUACUAGUUCUGGAACUGGCAUGAAUUUGGCUCUUGCUAUGGACCGAAUUUUGUCCCCACCCCUAAUGUGUGUGCCGAAGCGCUGAACCCCAGUGUGAUGGUUAUUUGUAAAUGGGGCCUUUGGGAGGUAAUCGGAUUUGGAUGAGGUCAUGGAGGUAGCAGGUCAUGAUGGGAUGAGUGCCUUUAUUAGGAGAGACACCAAAGAGCUUGCUUUUCUCUCACACUCUCUGUCCCCUACCCCCAACCUCAGCCCUCACCUCCCUCCUCCAUGUGCGAACACAGCAAGAAGGCCGCCAUCUGCAAACCAGGAAGAGGUCCAUCACUGAGGGGCCAAAGUGGCACCUUGAGCUUGGACUUCCCAGGCUUCAAGAACUGUGAAAAAUAAAUCCCUGUUGUUGAAGCCCCCCAGCCUAUGUUAUUUUGUUGCAGCAGCCGGAGCUGACUGACACAGCCGCAUGAUCACCGGCAAGUUCCUCCAUCGCUUGGGACUCUCUUUUCUUCUCUGUCAAAUGUGAAUAUUAAAACCUGUCUCACUGCA
rnacentral:lncRNA from 1 species